GAUUAUAAUCUGCAUAUAAGAAACAUGUAAAUGUUAGAGAUACAUAUGUAAAAUGGAACUUUACAGUAUUUCCAGCAACAAAGGAUGAUGAGACCGGUCACUCUAUCUGCGUUAAAAAGGCAAAGCUGAGCUUAUUGAGGAUUGUAGUAAAAUAAACAAAGGGGAAUUAUGCACAAGCACAUUGCCUCUGCCUAACAGCAGAUUGCUUCCUUGGGUCGUUUUUGUUGUUUGUGUUGGAAAGCGCGGAGUUCGGGGCUUGGGCUUUUCACAGGGGUGAGCAGACCCGAUUUCAGCGGUGCUAGCCUGGCCACUUGAUGGGUCGUUGGGACGGUUUGUCGGUUGGAUACUGAGGUGAGUCUAUUGGCCUGAGUCUUGUCCCUGAUUGGCUGGCUUCCAGAAGGCCAGGUUGAUUGCUUGGCUUGUAAAAACACGUUCACCAGGUCGAUCCUUUGGUUUAAAAUGAGUUCCGAUGGCUCCUCAUGAUCAUGGCUGCAGGGCAAUCCACCUUUUCCAAAAUUUGUGGCAGUUUUUUCAUUACUAGUUGAGCUCACACAAAUGCCCUUUGCUGCAACUCCAUUUCAUAAUCACGCAAGUGCAGAUGUGUAGACAAGGAUAUUCACCGUAAACAACUGGAACGAGGUUUGGCAAGCCUGGGUGACCAGCCUACCUAGGGCUCAUCCUGAGGCCGAACUGUCCUGCCGGGGGAUCACACUUGGUGAGGAGCGGCGCUCCCAGCAUGACCUGCGGCCCACAGGCAGCCGGAAGAAGGUGCUACAAGAACAAAAUAUUCGCACCGCUGUGUGUGUUUCCUCUCUUGGAUGGGGGUGGGUGGAUUAAGUAGGCGGAUUUAUACAUUUGUAUCUGACUCCCCACAGUGACCCAGGUACUCCACGGGUGCUGUGAAAAAGCAGAAACUACAUACCAGUAAAAUGAAGCAAGUACAAGUCAGCAAGCCCGUGCAUCCGGGGACAAUUAUUGUUAACAUUUUGAGGCACAUACUCUAGAUAUUUUUCUCUCUACCGCUACAGACGUUUAAAUUUGCUUUUAUUUUUAUCUUUUUACAUUUUUUUUAAACGUG
rnacentral:lncRNA from 1 species